ACCCGCGCUGCCCAUUGGCCCGGGAGCAUCACGUUGCCCGCACCGAGCCGAGCCGGGGGCUCUGGGGCUGCUGCUGAUUCACUGGCUGUGGCGGGGUCCGGUUCAGCUCAGUCAUUGCCGCCGCCCGGUCAGGUAGGAGGGAGAGGGCGGACAUCACCGCCGCCAGCUCCGUCCGCCCGGCUCCCCCUCAGCGCUGACUCGUCCCGGCGGGCGAGAGCGGUCCUGGGUGGCCGCGCCUUUCGCCCGGGAGGAAGCGGUGCUUUGGAGGAUGGCACCUGGACGUGCCCGGUGCGGGACUGAAACCUCUUAAGAGCAAAAGGAUACAUAACUUCUGUGAUGCUACAUUAGGUAUAAUUCAGCUGUCUUCUCAGGCAUGGUUUACAAGUGGGAAGAUUGGAUAUUUCCCUGAAAAGACUUCAAGUUUGAUCUCAAAUCCUGCCCAUCUAAGAUCUUGAGAAUUAGCAAGCAGCAAGGAUCAUUUGGUUAAGUAUUUCCUGCAGACUUCUCUCACUGGUGCUUGGGAGCAGCACAGACUGUACAAAGUAAUAGCCAUGGGUUAUAGAAAAGUAAUAGCCAUAGGGUUGUAGAAAGAUGGCUUCUGUAUUAGCUUGCAGCUGAUGCAGUGAAGGGUAAAUACGUUUGUGCUUGUUUUUUUUUUUUCCAUUCGCUUCUUUUCCUUUGACUUCAACUCUUAGUUCCUGGAGUGGAGUAAAAUGGAAUGUGGUGUUAGCUGCUUCCCUUCCCAUUUAUGAAGAAUGUUGGUUUUAUGGGGACGUAGGGUAUAUGGGGGAAAUAGUUGAGUUGUUAACUCCUCAUAGCUAAUAACUUCUGAGUUAAUUGUACUGCCUGGCUGAUGGAGCUCAUGCAUCAAGGUGUAGUGCUAAGCCUUAUCGGGCUAGAACUUCUCACAGUUUGGAAUGCUACUCCUUUUUUCCUGCCUUUUGGGUUCUUCACAAUUUGCAAGGGGCCAACAGUUGGUUUAUUUAUUCAGUGAAGAGUGCUUAGACUCACUGUCAGUAAGCAGAAUGAAAGUAUGUGGAGUGUAAGUGUAGUUUUGAAUGAAAAUUUGCCAGUCUUCAGAAAUUAACAGUACAUUGACCAGUCUGCUUGGAUUUAUUCUUGUGUGUGCAGGUCUAGUUUGGAGGUAGUUGUUCCUCUUACAUACAACACCAGUUUCAAAUGUACACAAAGCCAGAUUGACCUUUGUGGCCCCAGUGGUGGGUUAAACCAGGAAGUUGUGCUUUGGAUAAGGUGUGUGUUAGUUAUGCUUUUUCGUUGACUUAUUUUGAAAGAUAAGUGGCUAUGAGCUCUGUGCAGUGUGUCGGUGAUGUCCAGAUUGAAGCAAAAAGUCUGACUGCCGCAGCAUUUGACUACUGUGGUUCAAAGAUGAGGAUUUCGUGCACAUAUAGCCCAACUGUCAAACUAGCUUGCACUAGUACCACUGGCUGGCAAGCUGUGGUCUUGCAGACUUCCACACAGGUUACAGACGAGCUCUCACGAAGGUGUAAUUCAACUCCAGGAGCUGCAACUGG